GAACAGAAGAAUUGAACUGCACCACAGCUGAGUAACAUCUUCAAAACUUCAAGUGACAGAAACAAGAAUGUCCUUAACUCUAAUCUUAUGAGGAACUCACUAAGAAUAAACUACAAGGGCAAUAUUUUAUGAUACAGUGUGUCUUAGGAAACAAUGCGAAGCAGCUUUGGUUUCCAGUGAAAUGGAAGGAUAGCAGCAGGUCUACAGGAAGAAUUCAAGACGCUUGCCAUAAUCCAUCUACCACAUACAGCAAACCAGGAUUUUUUCCAGGUUUAUUCAUAGCUAAUGGAAGUCUGCAACAUACAGUGAAACAUUUGUCUUGAACACCUAAUGGUGAUUUUAAUGGAGGAACAGUUGUUCACAAAGAAUCUCAAAUAACUCCACGAAGCAGCGUGUUGCCAGCCGUUUGGAUGGACUAUCCAAUGGAACACCAUUGUGGGUCCAGGAACUACCCUUUUCUCCCCUUACUCAGCUCUCUGUGGAACAAGAUACAGGCAGAGGCUGAGAAAAAAAACCCCAGGGCCUAUCCACAACUUUCCUUAUCUGCUACAAAAUGUGCAACCAGCUUCCUGGAUCUUGAGAUGUGCAGAAUGGAGCCCCCCAAGCUGUUUCAGGGAAGAGGACCUAAAGCCAGGACUAACACCUCACCUCACUCUGUACAUAGAGCCUCAAAUUUCUUUCCUCUGAGCUGCACCACAAACAUGUCCAAAUGAAGUUAAACAAAUGUUUGAACCAAUACAGGAAAGGGAUUUUAGGCAGA